GAUGAACGCUGACAGAAUGCUUAACACAUGCAAGUCUUUGGCGAAGCUGUGCUUGCACAGCCUAGCCAAGGCGGACGGGUGAGUAACGCGUAAGGAACUUGCCCUGCAGUCAGGGAUAACAGACGGAAACGACUGAUAAGACCUGGUAAAGUCAGGCGGACUCAUGUCCAGCCUGAUGAAAAGAGAUGCUGCAGGAGAGCCUUGCGUCCUAUUAGCUUGUUGGUGGGGUAACGGCCCACCAAGGCGAUGAUAGGUAGCCGGCCUGAGAGGGUGGACGGCCACAAGGGGACUGAGAUACGGCCCUUACUCCUACGGGAGGCGGCAGUGGGGAAUAUUGGACAAUGGGGGCAACACUGAUCCAGCAAUUCUGUGUGCACGAUGAAGGUUUUCGGAUUGUAAAGUGCUUUCAGCAGGGAAGAAAAAAAUGACGGUACCUGCAGAAGAAGCGACGGCUAAAUACGUG
rnacentral:rRNA from 1 species